rnacentral:pre_miRNA from 1 species
UCUUAUGGAUGAGCAAAGAAAGUGGUUUCUUGACAUGGAAACUACUCCUGGAGAAGAUGCCAUGAA